rnacentral:rRNA from 1 species
CAUGCAAGUCGAACGGCAGCACGGAGCUUGCUCUGGUGGCGAGUGGCGAACGGGUGAGUAAUAUAUCGGAACGUACCCUAGAGUGGGGGAUAACGUAGCGAAAGUUACGCUAAUACCGCAUACGAUCUAAGGAUGAAAGUGGGGGAUCGCAAGACCUCAUGCUCGUGGAGCGGCCGAUAUCUGAUUAGCUAGUUGGUAGGGUAAAAGCCUACCAAGGCAUCGAUCAGUAGCUGGUCUGAGAGGACGACCAGCCACACUGGAACUGAGACACGGUCCAGACUCCUACGGGAGGCAGCAGUGGGGAAUUUUGGACAAUGGGCGAAAGCCUGAUCCAGCAAUGCCGCGUGAGUGAAGAAGGCCUUCGGGUUGUAAAGCUCUUUUGUCAGGGAAGAAACGGUGAGAGCUAAUAUCUCUUGCUAAUGACGGUACCUGAAGAAUAAGCACCGGCUAACUACGUGCCAGCAGCCGCGGUAAUACGUAGGGUGCAAGCGUUAAUCGGAAUUACUGGGCGUAAAGCGUGCGCAGGCGGUUUUGUAAGUCUGAUGUGAAAUCCCCGGGCUCAACCUGGGAAUUGCAUUGGAGACUGCAAGGCUAGAAUCUGGCAGAGGGGGGUAGAAUUCCACGUGUAGCAGUGAAAUGCGUAGAUAUGUGGAGGAACACCGAUGGCGAAGGCAGCCCCCUGGGUCAAGAUUGACGCUCAUGCACGAAAGCGUGGGGAGCAAACAGGAUUAGAUACCCUGGUAGUCCACGCCCUAAACGAUGUCUACUAGUUGUCGGGUCUUAAUUGACUUGGUAACGCAGCUAACGCGUGAAGUAGACCGCCUGGGGAGUACGGUCGCAAGAUUAA